rnacentral:sRNA from 4 species
AGCAUUAUUACCGCCAUUAUCAGCAUGGCGGGCUAGCGCAUUAGCACCUGACCCGCCCUGGAGGCGGGUCUG